rnacentral:rRNA from 1 species
UACGAGGGGGGCGAGCGUUGUUCGGAAUUAUUGGGCGUAAAGGGUGCGUAGGCGGUUCCGCAAGUCCUGUGUGAAAUCUUCGGGCUCAACUCGAAGUCUGCACGGGAAACUGCGGGGCUUGAGUGUGGGAGAGGUGAGUGGAAUUCCUGGUGGAGCGGUGAAAUGCGUAGAUAUCAUUUGGAACGCCAAUGGUGAAAACAGGUAGCUGGGAGUGUGCUGACGCUGAGACACGAAAGCUAGGGGAGCAAACGGG